AGAGUUUGAUCAUGGCUCAGAACGAACGCUGGCGGCGUGCCUAACACAUGCAAGUCGAACGAGAAACUCCACCUUCGGGUGGAGGAGUAAAGUGGCGCACGGGUGAGUAACACGUGGGUAACCUGCCCUUGAAUCUGGGAUAACCUCGCGAAAGCGGGGCUAAUACCGGAUAAUGUCCUUGAGACUCCGGUCUCAGGGAUGAAAGGUGACCUCUCCAUGGAAGUUGCCGUUCAAGGAGGGGCCCGCGGCCUAUUAGCUUGUUGGUGGGGUAAUGGCCUACCAAGGCUAUGAUGGGUAGCUGGUCUGAGAGGAUGAUCAGCCACACUGGCACUGAAACACGGGCCAGACUCCUACGGGAGGCAGCAGUGAGGAAUAUUUCGCAAUGGGGGAAACCCUGACGCAGCAACGCCGUGUGAGCGAAGAAGGCCUUCGGGUCGUAAAGCUCUGUCAGGUGGGAAAAAAGUCCUAUGGUUAAUAGCCAUAGGGUCUGAUGGUACCACCAGAGGAAGCACCGGCUAACUCCGUGCCAGCAGCCGCGGUAAUACGGAGGGUGCAAGCGUUGUUCGGAAUCACUGGGCGUAAAGCGUGUGUAGGCGGUCUGGCAAGUCAGAUGUGAAAGCCUCCUGCUCAACAGGAGAAGUGCAUCUGAUACUGCCAGGCUGGAGUAUGGGAGAGGAGAGCGGAAUUCCCGGUGUAGAGGUGAAAUUCGUAGAUAUCGGGAGGAACACCGGUGGCGAAGGCGGCUCUCUGGCCCAAUACUGACGCUGAGACACGAAAGCGUGGGGAGCAAACAGGAUUAGA
rnacentral:rRNA from 1 species